UCGAGAAUCUUUCGCAAUGGGCGCAAGCCUGACGAAGCGACGCCGUGUGAACGAAGAAGGCCUUCGGGUUGUAAAGUUCUUUCGCUAGGGAACAAGAGAUAGUGAAUAACACUCAUUAGAUUUGAUGGUACUUGGUAAAGAAGCACCGGCUAACUCCGUGCCAGCAGCUGCGGUAAUACGGAGGGUGCAAGCAUUGAUCGGAAUUACUGGGCGUAAAGGGCGCGUAGGCGGCUGGGAAAGUCGGGUGUGAAAUUCCAAGGCUCAACCUUGGAGCAGCACACGAAACUGUCCAGCUAGAGUGCAGUUAGGGAAAACGGAAUUCCACAUGUAGCGGUGAAAUGCGUAGAUAUGUGGAGGAACACCGGUGGUGAAGACGGUUUUCUGGGCUGUAACAGACGCUGAGGCGCGAAAGCAUGGGGAGCAAACAGGAUUAGAUACCCCUGUAGUCC
rnacentral:rRNA from 1 species